AUUGAACGCUGGCGGAAUGCUUUACACAUGCAAGUCGAGCGGCAGCGCGGGGCAACCUGGCGGCGAGCGGCGAACGGGUGAGUAAUGCAUCGGAACAUGUCCAUGUCGUGGGGGAUAGCCCGGCGAAAGCCGGAUUAAUACCGCAUACGCUCGAGAGAGGAAAGCCGGGGACCGCAAGGCCUGGCGCGAUUGGGUUGGCCGAUGUCCGAUUAGCUAGUUGGUGAGGUAAAGGCUUACCAAGGCGAUGAUCGGUAGCUGGUCUGAGAGGAUGAUCAGCCACACUGGGACUGAGACACGGCCCAGACUCCUACGGGAGGCAGCAGUGGGGAAUUUUGGACAAUGGGGGGCAACCCUGAUCCAGCCAUUCCGCGUGAGUGAAGAAGGCCUUCGGGUUGGUU
rnacentral:rRNA from 1 species